GACGUAGGGCGCGAGCGUUGUCCGGAUUUAUUGGGCGUAAAGAGCUCGUAGGCGGCUCGUUGCGUCGGCUGUGAAAACCCGCGGCUCAACUGUGGGCUUGCAGUCGAUACGGGCAGGCUGGAGUUCGGUAGGGGAGACUGGAAUUCCUGGUGUAGCGGUGAAAUGCGCAGAUAUCAGGAGGAACACCGGUGGCGAAGGCGGGUCUCUGGGCCGAUACUGACGCUGAGGAGCGAAAGCGUGGGGAGCGAACAGG
rnacentral:rRNA from 1 species